rnacentral:sRNA from 1 species
GUGAUUGCAGCGGCAUCCUUUUUCUGGAUUGGCAAAAGCUUGGCAGAAAAAGAUAUAGCGGAAAGCACG